rnacentral:lncRNA from 1 species
AGGUUAUCUUGUUUUUGAUUUGACGUUGCGGUUGAUUAUGAUUUUUUUUUUUUGUUUUGUUUGUAUGAUUUUGGAUUUGGAACUGGUUGUUUGAGUAUACUUGCCGUAUAUUAUUUCUACCGAAACAUUUGUUUUUGAAUUAAAAUCUAAGUGCGAAGAUUUUGCAAAUGAUGUUUUUACACUUGAUCUCUGAACUUUCAGGUAAGUUAAUGUUUGACAAUUUCAGUCGCUGAUGCU